UCUAUUAUGACAGAUAAAUGUGAUGAAUUUAAGUUUCAUAAAUAAAAAUAUAAUUUUUUGGUAGAA
rnacentral:tRNA from 1 species